rnacentral:rRNA from 1 species
GACGAACGCUGGCGGCGUGCCUAAUACAUGCAAGUAGAGCGCUGAAGGUUGGUACUUGUACCAACUGGAUGAGCAGCGAACGGGUGAGUAACGCGUGGGGAAUCUGCCUUUGAGCGGGGGACAACAUUUGGAAACGAAUGCUAAUACCGCAUAAAAACUUUAAACACAAGUUUUAAGUUUGAAAGAUGCAAUUGCAUCACUCAAAGAUGAUCCCGCGUUGUAUUAGCUAGUUGGUGAGGUAAGGGCUCACCAAGGCGAUGAUACAUAGCCGACCUGAGAGGGUGAUCGGCCACAUUGGGACUGAGACACGGCCCAAACUCCUACGGGAGGCAGCAGUAGGGAAUCUUCGGCAAUGGACGAAAGUCUGACCGAGCAACGCCGCGUGAGUGAAGAAGGUUUUCGGAUCGUAAAACUCUGUUGGUAGAGAAGAACGUUGGUGAGAGUGGAAAGCUCAUCAAGUGACGGUAACUACCCAGAAAGGGACGGCUAACUACGUG